GAUGAACGCUGGCGGCGUGCCUAAUACAUGCAAGUCGAGCGAACAGACGAGGAGCUUGCUCCUCUGACGUUAGCGGCGGACGGGUGAGUAACACGUGGAUAAUCUACCUAUAAGACUGGGAUAACUUCGGGACACCGGAGCUAAUACCGGAUAAUAUAUUUAACCGUAUGGUUCAAUAGUGAAAGACGGUUUUGCUGUCACUUAUAGAUGGAUCCGCGCCGCAUUAGCUAGUUGGUAAGGUAACGGCUUAACAAGGCAACGAUGCGUAGCCGACCUGAGAGGGUGAUCGGCCACACUGGAACUGAGACACGGUCCAGACUCCUACGGGAGGCAGCAGUAGGGAAUCUUCCGCAAUGGGCGAAAGCCUGACGGAGCAACGCCGCGUGAGUGAUGAAGGUCUUCGGAUCGUAGAACUCUGUUAUGAGGGAAGAACAAAUGUGUAAGUAACUAUGCACGUCUUGACGGUACCUAAUCAGAAAGCCACGGCUAACUACGUG
rnacentral:rRNA from 1 species